rnacentral:lncRNA from 1 species
AGAGGCUGCGGCGCGUGGCCUGAGGCGGAGAGCCGGGCUGCGGGGGUCCGGGCCAGGCCAGGCGCCGGCCUGACCCGCCUCGCCGGCAAGAGCAGGCCGGGCUUCCUCCUCCCUUGGCGGGCGGGGGAGGGAAAGGGGGAUCCUGGCCGGGGGUAAGGGGGAAAGGUGGUCCUGAUUCUCCCUGUGCCACCGCCACAAAGCUGAUCCUGGCCUCCUGCGGAGAAGCCUGAGCGCCUUCCCGCAGACCUGACGCGACCCCCUCCCAGGUACCUGGGCCUCGGCCUGGUCUAGCGAGUCCCCUUCCUCCCAAGGAGCAGCCGGCGGAGCUCGGGUGGAGGAAAGCGAGGAGGCGACCAGGAGGAUGCCGCCGCCGCCGCCGCAGGGCCCGGGGCUUCUGCAGGGCGCAAGGCCUCCCUCACCAGGGUAAGGGGCUGGCGAUCAACCUGGACGCCUGGGACCUUGGGAGCAAGCAUCCCGCAGCCGAGCAGGCGACGGCGCGGCCACCGCCUAGAGAGGAGCCGGGGCCCGGGGCGGCGUGCGGGUCGGCAGCAGCCGGCUUGGCCUAUCCGAAACCCCAGGCCUGGAAGCGGCUGCUUUAGGCGUCAAGUUGAGCGGGGUAUGUGUGUCCUCUUGGGAAAAAGGCAGAAGAAAGAAGCGGAGCCGAGCCGAGCCGCCGAGUCCCUCCCCCCGGAGCCCCGGAGCCCCGGCGCCUGCCUGGGCGGUCCCGGCCGCGCAGACAGAAAAGAAGCCGGGAAUCUGCGGGGCUGGGGGGCGGGGAGCGACACCAAAGGCCAGAAACUGCAGCACGGCCCGAGGCCCUGGCGAGCUGGGCCUGGGGGAGGAGAAGUCCCUUCCCAUUCCAGCUCGAUCAAUCUUGCUGGGCUGCGAUCGGUCAAUAAAAACGGUGUGAAGCGGCCGCUGUCGCUGUGAGUCUGGGGAGGAAGUGGAGGCCAAAGGUGUCGAGGCCGGCGCCAGUACCCCGCACCAGCCGGGUCCGCGGCCCCGCGGUCUGCACGUCGCAGGCCGGGGGCCAGAGCUUUGCCGGCAGCCGAGAGCGGCCCGGCGGGGCCUUUAAUUGGGUGUCUCCAUUUUAAUAGAGGCCAUUGUUGGAGCAAUUAGAGAAAGACAAUAACCGCCCAGAGACGUUUAAUUCGAUUCCCUGCGCCCGCCGCAGUACGCACCGGGGCGCUCUGGAAGAGUGGCCGAGGCUGCGCGGAAGGGAGGGUCCGCUUGGGGAGGCGCCGGCUUCUUUCCUUGCUUGCUUUGCCUUCGGUGUGGGAAUUGUAAAGGGCGACUGGGGCAAGAUGAAAGCGGGGCGAGGGCGACCUGAGCCAGGCCAGGGCCGGCCUCUCUAGCCCACGCCGGGCGCCCGCGGGACCGCCGCGCCUUUCGCGGCGCGCGUCCAGCUGUGGCCGCCGCGGAGGUCCCCAGCGCCUGUUCA